rnacentral:rRNA from 1 species
AUUGAACGCUGGCGGCAUGCCUUACACAUGCAAGUCGAACGGUAACAGGUCUUCGGAUGCUGACGAGUGGCGAACGGGUGAGUAAUACAUCGGAACGUGCCCGAUCGUGGGGGAUAACGAAGCGAAAGCUUUGCUAAUACCGCAUACGAUCUACGGAUGAAAGCAGGGGACCGCAAGGCCUUGCGCGAACGGAGCGGCCGAUGGCAGAUUAGGUAGUUGGUGGGAUAAAAGCUUACCAAGCCGACGAUCUGUAGCUGGUCUGAGAGGACGACCAGUCACACUGGGACUGAGACACGGCCCAGACUCCUACGGGAGGCAGCAGUGGGGAAUUUUGGACAAUGGGCGAAAGCCUGAUCCAGCCAUGCCGCGUGCAGGAUGAAGGCCUUCGGGUUGUAAACUGCUUUUGUAUGGAACGAAAAGGCUCUGGUUAAUACCUGGGGCUCAUGACGGUACCGUAAGAAUAAGCACCGGCUAACUACGUGCCAGCAGCCGCCGUAAUAC